rnacentral:rRNA from 1 species
GUGGGGAAUCUUGCGCAAUGGGCGAAAGCCUGACGCAGCCAUGCCGCGUGAAUGAUGAAGGUCUUAGGAUUGUAAAAUUCUUUCACCGGGGACGAUAAUGACGGUACCCGGAGAAGAAGCUCCGGCUAACUUCGUGCCAGCAGCCGCGGUAAUACGAAGGGGGCUAGCGUUGCUCGGAAUUACUGGGCGUAAAGGGAGCGUAGGCGGAUAGUUUAGUCAGAGGUGAAAGCCCAGGGCUCAACCUUGGAAUUGCCUUUGAUACUGGCUGUCUUGAGUUUGGGAGAGGUGAGUGGAACUCCGAGUGUAGAGGUGAAAUUCGUAGAUAUUCGGAAGAACACCAGUGGCGAAGGCGACUCACUGGCCCAAUACUGACGCUGAGGCGCGAAAGCGUGGGGAGCAAACAGGAUUAGAUACCCCAGUAGUCC